rnacentral:rRNA from 1 species
CGCGUAGGCGGGUAUUUAAGUCAGAUGUGAAAACUCCGGGCUCAACCCGGAGACUGCAUUUGAAACUGGGUAUCUUGAGGGCAGGAGAGGAAAGUGGAAUUCCUAGUGUAGCGGUGAAAUGCGUAGAUAUUAGGAGGAACACCAGUGGCGAAGGCGACUUUCUGGACUGUACCUGACGCUGAGGCGCGAAAGCGUGGGGAGCGAACG